GCUAUAUAAUGUUGAAAGACCGGUUCUCGUCUGAUCACCGAAGUUAAGCAACGUCGAGCCUGGUCAGUAUCUAGACUGGUUAACUUUAGGGGAAUACCAGGUGCUGUAAU